ensembl:lncRNA
GAUGUCAUGGUUUUGUAACUUCGCUAUUGGUAUUCCACAUCAUAACAUCAUGGACAAAAGAGAAGAACUACGUAUCCCAGAGGACCUCACGGUCAGAGAAGGAAGACACAUCAGGGAAGAUACGUCAUCUGGUUGCGCGCGAUUCUUCUUCACUUUCGCUUGCUGCCGGGAGAGUGUGCUCCCAAGCCGGGAGUGCUUUCCCAAGCUUGGGUGUUCUUUCCAAGCCGGGCGCCUUCAUCAAAAGUGUAUCUCCUUUACCAGUUUAUUUGCUAGCUGCUAAUAAAUCCAACUAGUGAAGAUCAGGUUUGUGGCCACCUGAGGAACUUGAUCACCUACAAGUCUAUGGGUCCCAAUGAGAUGCAUCCCAGAGUCCUGAGAGAAUUUGCUGAUGUAGUUGCCAAGCCACUCUUUGUGAUAUUUGAACAGUUGUGGCAAUCAGGAGAAGACCCUGGUAACUGGAAGAAAAGGCAGCAUCAUACCCAUUUUUAAUAAGGGUAAAAGGGAUGAUCCUGAGAACUACUGUCCUAUCAGUCUCACCUCUGUACCAGGAAAGAGAGCAGAUCCUCCUGGAAGCUAUACUAAGAUACAUGGAAGGCAAGGAGGUGAAGUAGGAGAACCAGCAUGGCUUCACCAGUGCCAAAUCCUGUUUGACUAACAUGGUGGCCUUUUAUGAUGGUGUCACUGCAUCUGUGUAUAAGGGAAGAGACACUGAUGUCAUCUAUCUGGUCUUCAGUAAGGCCUUUUACAUGAUACCCCCAUUACAUUCUUCUCUCCAAAUUGGAAAUAUAUGGAUUUGAUGGGUGGACUGUUCAAUGGAUGAAGAACUGGCUGCAGGAUUGAGUCCAGAGAGU